UUCACUUUCUCUCUCCUCAAUUGAAGAGUUCUUCUUCAACUGCUCUAGACUUUCUUCAAUGGAAUCAGAGCAAAGCAAGCAAUAAAUCAAUCAUGCCUUCCACUAAUUUGCUCCUCCAAGUACCAAUUCGUAUGGCUUCAAUUCUUUUGUACGGACUUUGUUAAUGAGAUCUUUUGAGGCUCGAAACUCACAAUUUGUAUGUGACCAACUGUUCUGCGAAAGAUGUCAGUUUUCCUUCAAAACAGGCGAUGCCGGAAUUUGGGAGCCAUUCAACCCGAUGAUUUGAUUAACCAGUGACCGUUACUUGUUGGAUUCGGAAGUUUUCGCCGGAGAUGAGUUGGAAUCCGCGCUAAUGUUUCCGGCGAUGGAAAGGAUGCUUGGGUUUUCGAUGGUUUUGAAACCCUUCUCUUUAAUUUACCUUAUUAUGAGCAUGGAUAUGGAUUAGGGAUGAGCUGAAUGCUUAAUCUGUUGCUGUAAAAUAUUCUUACAGUGAUGAUCGGCAUGUCAGGCAUUGGAUGGUGCAGUGAAAGAUGAAUUUUUUCAUGAAGAGUGGAGAACUCAGAGCUCAAUGAGUGGGCGCUAUUUUCUUGACAGCCACGAGCUCUUUCUCCCGUUGCUCCCAGUUGGGAAAUAUUAUGAUAAGUCAAUUACGGUCAGAAAUCCCAGCCAGCAACCUGUCGUAGUGCAGCUUAUACUAAACUCAAUAGAAACUGUUGAUAAUUGCAAACCUGUUAUGGUCAUCAACAGACACCUUCUGCAAGUAGCUCUACCUGUAAUGAUUCCACCAGGAUGAGUAUGUGUGGGUUUUCAGUAGCAGACGGUAUAGUUACAGAGGCCUUUCUACAUCCAAAUGACACAGCAUGAUUGGGUCCUAUCUAUUUUCAUCCUUCAGAUAUAUGUGAAUGGAAGAGCUCGGCGUUCAUAAGGAGUAAUCUUUCUGGUCUGGAGAUAUUAUCUCUGCAUGGAUCGGGUGGAUUCUUUUCCUUAGUCUUGCUCGAGGGUUCAGAACAUGUGCAAAGAUUGGAUUUUACUAUGAACUAUCCUCUAAAUAUAUCCAACAAUGAGGAUGCUAUAUCUGCCUGUCGUAAGCCAUUAUUAAAGAAGGUCUUUGCUUUUAAUGCAGGUGAUUACCCUGUCAAUGUCAAGAGAAUAGAUGUCUCAGGAAGAGAAUGUGGAUUGGAUGGUUUUGUUGUACAUAAUUGCCAGGUUUUUUCUCUGAAACCUGGAGAAUCUUCGGAGCUUGGGCUAUCAUACCAACCGGAUCUUUCUGGGUCUGUGGUACAAAGGGAGCUCGAAUUGAUUCUAGAUGCUGGAAUACUUGUAAUACCAAUGCAAGAAAGUAUACCUCCAAAUUCACUUAAUGUAUGUGUAGAUUCCUUCUUUUGGUCUCCUGUAAAAUGUUGCUUGGCAAUCGGUUUUGUCAUAAUCUUACUCUCUCUCUCUUCGUUUCAAAA